rnacentral:misc_RNA from 1 species
GAUGAAGAACGUAGCGAAAUGCGAUACUUGGUGUGAAUUGCAGAAUCCCGUGAACCAUCGAGUCUUUGAACGCAAGUUGCGCCCGAAGCCAUUAGGCCGAGGGCACGCCCGCCUGGGCGUCACACGUCGUUGCCCCCCCAUCUACUCCUUCGGGAUUGCGGGGGGCGGAUGAUGGCCUCCCGUGCGCCUCGUCGCGCGGUUGGCAUAAAUGCCAAGUCCUCGGCGACGCACGCCACGACAAUCGGUGGUUGCGAAACCUCGGUUGCCCGUCGUGUGCGGUCGUCGCGCAUCGAGGGCUCGAAAAAAUUGCCGGGCUCCGGCUCGGCUUUCAACGCGACCCCAGGUCAGGCGGGGUUACCCGCUGAAUUUAAGCAUAUCAAUAAGCGGAGGA